rnacentral:lncRNA from 1 species
GCUCAUGUACCAAAUUCAACUGCAAUUGUAAUGCGCUGUUGAUCUUCUUGUGGUGGUUUGCGCCGGUUCUCCCAAGUGACUCUAUCAAAUAUGCCAAUUUUGGCUUAUUAUGAGCCUGAUUUUCCUCCGCAGUAAUAUUGAAGAUCGUAUAAAGACCUCUAAAAUGGGAAAAGAAGAAGCCCUAUGAAAAAAAAAAGUUGGUGAAAAAAUUAUCAAAAAAAGAG